rnacentral:rRNA from 1 species
AAUGAACGUUGGCGGCGUGGAUUAGGCAUGCAAGUCGAGCGAGAAGUUUUAGAAAGAUACUUCGGUUGAUUUUUUAAAAUGGACAGCGGCGAAAGGGAGAGUAACGAGUAGAUACGUACCCAGGGGUUCGGGAUAGCCAUGCGAAAGCGUGAGUAAUACCGAAUAAUGUCUCCGGACCAAAGAUUUAUUGCCCUUGGAGCGGUUUGCUUACUAUUAGCUUGUUGGUGGGUAAAGGCCUACCAAGGCUUAGAUGGUUAGCGGGUGUGAGAGCAUGACCCGUCUCACUGGGACUGAGACACUGCCCAGACAUCUACGGAUGGCUGCAGUCGAGAAUCUUCCGCAAUGGACGAAAGUCUGACGGAGCGACGCCGCGUGCUGGAUGAAGGCCCUCGGGUUGUAAACAGCUGUCGUAGGGGAGGAAAUUUUGACCGAUCCUAGGAGGAAGCACAGGCUAAGUUCGUG